rnacentral:rRNA from 1 species
GGCCUCAAAUCAGACAAGAGUACCCGCUGAACUUAAGCAUAUCAAUAAGCGGAGGAAAAGGAACUAACAAGGAUUCCCCUAGUAACGGCGAGUGAAGCGGGAACAGCUCAAAUUUUAAAUCUGGCUGCUUUGUAGUCCGAGUUGUAAUUUGAAGGAGUCUUGCCGCUGGCAAAACGAUGGCACAAGUCCUCUGGAACGGGGCAUCGUAGAGGGUGAGAAUCCCGUCUCUGGUCAUCACGCGCUGGCAUACGGCAGGCAUCCGAAGAGUCGAGUUGUUUGGGAUUGCAGCUCCAAAUGGGUGGUAAACUCCAUCUAAGGCUAAAUAUUGGCGAGAGACCGAUAGCGAACAAGUACCGUGAGGGAAAGAUGAAAAGAACUUUGAAAAGAGAGUAAAACAGUACGUGAAAUUGUUGAAAGGGAAACGAUUGAAG